AACCCGACCCUUUUGCACACGCCAGAAGAGCUACAUGUUGAAUUCUCUCUUAGUUGAUCUCCAGAGAUGACUGCCCACUUCUCUCUUCCUCUCCAUCUUUUACAUGGUACAUUCACCUGAGACCUCUUCUUACAGUAAAUCUAAGGGCAAGAGCUUCAAUGAUAGCUGUUUCUCCUUGGGAGAUCCCUGGUUUAAUAUGAAUAGCUAUUUUGAGAAACUGAUUUUUUCGACCUUUUUUUUUUAAAAAAGUCAAGAGUUCUUGAUAGAAGGUGGUCAUAUAAAAUAUUAUCUUUUUCUUCUCCAGUCAUUCAUUCAUUUUGAGGGGCGUUUUCUUCUGGUUUUGAGUUCAGUAUUUUCAUCACCCCUCUGCUUCCAGUAGCACUUGACAGUGCUGGUUUCUUCUAAUCCCAGACUUCCCCAAGAAUAGUAGUGGAACAAGAAUAGACGAAGUUAAUUUACAUUUUAUUUUGCUGGUUGACUACUUUUCACAGAAGUGAAUUAAGUUAUACAUAAUAAACUGUUGGAAGGCGUCUUUGAAACUGUCUAAUUGUUGAGUCUUCCUAGACUGGAUCUCUACUGUGGGACAGGCAACAACGCCGUAGUUCACAGAGGAGAAACACCGGGGCAUUGGCUGGUUUGCCUCGGACACGAUGGUUAGUUUAACUGGGACAAGAACCACCAUCUGAUAUGCAGGCAGAUCCCUUACCUCACAGAUGAGUAAGGCAGACCUACCAAAGAGUUCCUCUCAGGGGAAUUCCAUGGUGGUGCAGGAGCUAAGACUCCACAUUUUCACUACCAAGGACCCAGAGUUCAGUGCCGGCUCAGGGAGCUGAGAUCCCACAAGCUGUGCAGUGUGGCCAAAAAAAAAAAAAAGAAUUCCUCCCAGGCUUAGAAUACCAAAGAGAAGACUAGGUUGCCAGAAUCAGGAUAGAAAAUAAGAGGUCUAUAAAAAAAGAUAAUGCUUUGAUAUUUACAGUGUUUAUACUUAAGGGUGAAAGCCAAAUUAAUAUUUGUUUUGGAUUGAAAAAAGUAUGAGAAACAUAUAAUGUGAAGGGAC
ensembl:lncRNA